rnacentral:rRNA from 1 species
AGAGUUUGAUCAUGGCUCAGAUUGAACGCUGGCGGCAUGCUUUACACAUGCAAGUCGAACGGGCUUAGGGGCUUGCUCCUAAGUUAGUGGCGAACGGGUGAGUAAUACAUCGGAACGUACCGUGUAGUGGGGAUAACGUAGCGAAAGUUACGCUAAUACCGCAUACGAUCUACGGAUGAAAGUGGGGGACCUUCGGGCCUCACGCUAUACGAGCGGCCGAUGUCUGAUUAGCUAGUUGGUGAGGUAAAAGGCUCACCAAGGCAACGAUCAGUAGCGGGUCUGAGAGGACGAUCCGCCACACUGGGACUGAGACACGGCCCAGACUCCUACGGGAGGCAGCAGUGGGAAUUUUGGACAAUGGGGGCAACCCUGAUCCAGCCAUGCCGCGUGCGGGAAGAAGGCCUUCGGGUUGUAAACCGCUUUUGGUCGGGAAGAAAAGGUUCUCCCUAAUACGGAGGACUGUUGACGGUACCGGCAGAAUAAGCACCGGCUAACUACGUG